UACGGAAGGCAGCAGUGGGGAAUAUUGCACAAUGGGCGAAAGCCUGAUGCAGCUAUGCCGCGUGUAUGAAGAAGGCCUUAGGGUUGUAAAGUACUUUCAUCGGGGAGGAAAAACAAAACUAAUAAUUUUAUUUCUUGACGUUACCCGAAAAAGAAGCACCGGCUAACUCCGUGCCAGCAGCCGCGGUAAUACGGAGGGUGCUAGCGUUAAUCAGAAUUACUGGGCAUAAAGAGCACGUAGGUGGUUUUUUAAGUUCAGAUGUGAAAUCCCUGGGCGUUAACCUAGGAACUGCAUUUUGAAACUGAAAUACUAGAGUAUCGUAGAGGGAGGUAGAAUUCUAGGUGUAGCGGUGAAAUGCGUAGAUAUCUGGAGGAAUACCUGUGGCGAAAGCGGCCUCCUAAACGAAUACUGACACUGAGGUGCGAAAGCGUGGGGAGCAAACAGGGAUUAGAUACC
rnacentral:rRNA from 1 species